CCUACGGGAGGCAGCAGUGAGGAAUAUUGGUCAAUGGACGAGAGUCUGAACCAGCCAAGUAGCGUGAAGGAUGACUGCCCUAUGGGUUGUAAACUUCUUUUAUAUGGGAAUAAAACGUUCCACGUGUGGGAUUUUGUAUGUACCAUAUGAAUAAGGAUCGGCUAACUCCGUGCCAGCAGCCGCGGUAAUACGGAGGAUCCGAGCGUUAUCCGGAUUUAUUGGGUUUAAAGGGAUCGUAGGUGGAUUGUUAAGUCAGUUGUGAAAGUUUGCGGCUCAACCGUAAAAUUGCAGUUGAAACUGGCAGUCUUGAGUACAGUAGAGGUGGGCGGAAUUCGUGGUGUAGCGGUGAAAUGCUUAGAUAUCACGAAGAACUCCGAUUGCGAAGGCAGUUCACUGGACUGCAACUGACACUGAGGCUCGAAAGUGUGGGUAUCAAACAGGAUUAGAUACCCCUGUAGUC
rnacentral:rRNA from 1 species